rnacentral:rRNA from 1 species
GACGAACGCUGGCGGCGUGCUUAACACAUGCAAGUCGAACGGAAAGGCCCUGCUUUUGUGGGGUGCUCGAGUGGCGAACGGGUGUGUAACACGUGAGUAACCUGCCCUUGACUUUGGGAUAACUUCAGGAAACUGGGGCUAAUACCGGAUAGGAGCUCCUGCUGCAUGGUGGGGGGUGGAAAGUUUCGGCGGUUGGGGAUGGACUCGCGGCUUAUCAGCUUGUUGGUGGGGUAGUGGCUUACCAAGGCUUCGACGGGUAGCCGGCCUGAGCGGGUGACCGGCCACAUUGGGACUGCGAUACGGACCAGACCCCUACGGGAGGCAGCAGUGGGGAAUAUUGCACAAUGGGCGGAAGCCUGAUGCAGCAACGCCGCGUGCGGGAUGACGGCCUUCGGGUUGUAAACCGCUUUCGCCUGUGACGAAGCGUGAGUGACGGUAAUGGGCAAAGAAGCACCGGCUAACUACGUG